rnacentral:tRNA from 1 species
AUAAAUAUAGCUUAUAUUAAAGCAAUGGUUUUGUAAAUCAUAGAAGUAAUGACUAUUUGUA